CCAUGUGAGCAAACAGCAAGAAGAUGGAUGUUUGUGAACAGCCAAGUGGGCCCUUGCGUGACAAUGAAUCUCUUGGCACCUUGAUCCUAGGUUUCCCAGCCUCUAGAACCAUGAGAAAUAAACACUUGUUGCUGAAGCCAUCCAGUCCAUGGUAUUCCGGUAUAGCAGCCCCAACUUGUGACUGAGCCACCCCUACGCUAUCGAGCCUCUGGAGAAGGGUGAGUGUGUGAAGUGUGACAGCACAGAUUCCUGGGAAGUGUGCAUUUCCUUCCUUCCUUCCCUCAGUGAGGACCAUGAGAGGCACUGAAAGCAUCGCUGGGAGCCUCCUGUGUGUGCUUGUAGCUUUUGAGCGUCUCCUGGAUGACGUACGAGUGAACGGGCACGUGUGAGGCAGCUCUGCCUCCUCCCGGCUCAGUGACCCUUGGCAAAUCAUCAGGCUCCCUGACCCUCCACUUCCUCGCUUCCAAACGGGGCUGAAAAGACUUGCCCCUGAUAUUUUACAGAAUUACUGUGAGGUCUGAGGAAAUAACAAACGCAAAAGCCCUUUGAAAACUGAAGUCCUCUGCAAAUGCUGGAUUUGUCUUGUCAGAUAACGCGGCUGAUCGUCUAAGGUAACGUGCCAGACCCUACCCUCCACAAGAGAUGGCCCUUCCAAAGCUUUCUCCUCCUUCCCCACCAAGCGUAGACCUAUUCUAACGAUGCCCUUCUUGCUAAGACGUGUUUGAAAUAUUUCUUUGGAAAUUAUUCUUGCAGCUGGUUUACAAGCCAAAUGAGAAAAUCUGUUUCAUUACCUCGCAGACAGACCUCCAUUUCAUUCGGGGAGCCAAAAAUAGUUUUUCUGACCUGUUCUCCCAUCUUAUUCCUAAGAAGCAGUUCUGAAUGAUUUAUGUCUAUUUUAAAAAAAUCAAAUCCACCCUCGGGGAGAAAGAUCUGCCUCAUGGAGACGAUCAAAGGAGCUCGCCGCGGGAACCUGAGAGCAGUGUCGUUAUCUCGGUCACAUUUUACGCUCAUCAAACUCGAACGACUGUGCCCCGUUGUACCGGCCGGGUCUGUGAGCGAGGGCAUAGCCUGUCAAAACAUCAGGAAAUGCACCCCUUGAACCGUCUUUGGACUGAAAAGAACCUCAGAGGUCAUGUUACCUAAAUCAUCCCACUGGUUCCUUCAUUCAUUCCUUCAAAAACGCGUUCACUAAGCACUUGCCCAGCGUCGAUGAAGACGUCAAGGAGAAGAGGGAGGAUGCUGCCCUCCGAGCAUCCACGCCAACAAGAGAGGCACACAAGUAACCACACAAAUGCAAGAAAGAUGUGCUGCACGCUCUGAGAGAGGCCUGCGAUUGCUGGGAGACGGAGAGCCUGGCCGGCCCGGCCCGGAAGCCCUGGUUCUCGAGCUUUCUGGUGGAGGGGCGCUGGGGCUGGAUUUGGAAGGACCGGUUAGAGUUAGCAAGGUGAAGAUAGGCAGGGCAUCUGGGAAGAAGGAGGCACACGUACCCAGACAAGUGGGUUUGAUCCACUGUGUAGACCUGCGUACCAAAUGCUAAACCACUUGACGAUAUUUCAAAUGCAGAGUAGGGAGAGGGGGAUCCUUACCAAAAUUUUUAAACUUCUGGAUUCCCUAGAAGCUGGUAAAAUGAAUGGGCAUUUCUCUAGGGAAUUAUCUGUCAGGCUGAGAAGUGCCUGUCCUGUUGGGUGGGGGCCUACUCAGCCUCUCUGGCUGGAGUUUCUCCUACAGCUGCCCAGUUGCCUCAUUCGUCUUGCCUUCCCGGCUCCUGUUGGCACUGACUUGGUCACCAUGCUUCCUAGCUGGUUGAUACCAUUUACUAUGCCUCAUCCAGAAAUUCUUAAAUUGGGGUGCAAGAGUUCAAGAUUCAAGAAUUCAGGAGGAAGCCAUGAAUUUGAAGGGGAACAAAAUUUACUUUUUUUUAUUUUUAUUUUUUAUUUUUUUUUUGGUGAGGAAGAUUGGCCCUUAGCUAACAUCUGUUGCCAAUCUUCCUCUUUUUGCUUGAGGAAGAUUGUCACUGAGCUAACAUCUGCACCAAUCUUCCUCUACUUUGUACGUGGGACACUGUCACAGCGUGGCUUGAUGAGCGGUACAUUGGUUCAGACCUGGGAUCUGAACCCACAAACCCCAGGCUACCAAAGUGGAGCUCAUGAACUUAACCACUACCCCACCAGGCCGGCCCUAUUACUUCUUUUAUUUGCUAACCUCCAACUGAAAUUCAGAUCUUCCUUCAUUCAUCAAUGUAGGCAACAAGCCACAGUAGUAUUCAUAGUCCCUCCACUCAUGGCUUCGUUACCAACAGGAACAAAUGCUAUUCUCAUUUCAUAGAAGGGUUGUUGCAGAAUCUCAAAAUGAUGUCUGCAUUCAUCACUGCUUUGAAAGUGCCGUACAUACUAGACCCACCACUGGAUCUUAUUAUCUAACAAUUCAAAAAGCAGAUAUAUUUCAUACAUCAUAAAUAUGAUAGGUUUUUUAAUACUUCGAUCAUUUUUCAAUAGAAUCAGUUUCCUUCAUAAUCCUACAUAUUUCACUCUAUGCAUUUAAUUCAUGACUCUGAGAAGGGGUCUAUGGCACAAAAAAAUUUCUUAAUAAUCCCUCACAUAGGCAGUUCUAUGUGCUUAUAAACACAAAUUAGCACGUUUACUUCUUGCUAUGACUGAUCAGUGAUGUGGCUUUUACAGAUGGAGAAACUGAGGCACGAGAAGAUUCAGUGAACUCCUCACAGCCAGUAAGUGGCAGGGCGGGGCUGGGAAUCUGAAGAACCUGGCUCCCGAGGCCAUGCUCUCAACCACUGAGCUGUCCUGCUUUCCAGAGGAGCCUGGAAACAGGUACGGGACCAGAGUCUCGAGGCCUCAGUUUGGUCCUGGAGACACACUCUGCUCCUGUGUUUAUUUGCCUGGAAAGUUCUUAGGAUCUGGCACGUGGUCAGAACUCAAUAAACAUUAGCCAUUGUGAGUAUCUGCUCUGUGAAGACGAGGCAACUUCCCUGGGGAGGAUAAGGCACACUUUCCGUGUCUGCUGUGCUUUGUGCUCACCUCCAUAAAACAAGGACUAAACUGAACCGUGAUGGUUUGUUUCUAAACAGAACAUAAAUUUCUAGUAGACACUCAAAGACGUGUGUUGAAUGAAUGAAUACAUAAUAUCUUAAUUUGCCCAGUGAUCUGCAGCAACCCUCAGCAACCCCAAGAGGAGAGAGAUCAGGUAACGUUUCCAUUUUGCAGAGAGGAAAACCACACGACUUCUCUCCCCAAAAAACGACUACCAAAAAAUACCAAGUAUUGAACGCUUAAUCAGUGUUCAGCCAUGUACUGUCACUUUAAAUGCACAGUAUCAUGUAAUAGUAGAUCUAAAAGGUUAAGUGGCUCUCCUAAGGUCAAGUGCAAACAGCCAGUGAGCUGUGCACAGAGGUCUUCUACCUCUCAUCUGUGGGGCUCGUCACGGGGCACAGCGCAAAUCCAAUAAGCACACAUCAGGAUUUCCAAAGAGGGACAUAUUAGGGCUAGAACUCUCUUUACAAAGGGGUUUCAGGAUGAUACCUUAAAAAGCAUGAGCUCUCCUAAUAAUUUAAAAAUUUUCUGACUUGCAAGAACCCAUUUUCUCACCCAGUUUUGCAGAAAGGCACUAGUUGCAUGAAGCAGGGCCCACUUAGGUUCCUGGGAACCCAGACAUCUCAGUUGGUGCCAGGAAGCUGGUGAGUGUCCUCAGCCCAUAGGACCCGCCAUGUGGAUCCCCUCCAGCCCCUGCAAUACCUCCACUGACGUGAGUGAGGGGGUGCUUGGUUCUACUUGCUUGGAGCUCACCCGAGAGGGAGACCACAGAGCGUGCUUGGCUCCAAGAGGGAGCGCUCUGGGCUGAGGUCGGGGGCUGCAUUUUGCAUUUGCCUCAACACUUGGGUGGUCUUCAGGGCUGCUGCCAAGGAGCACAUCUUGCAGCAAUUUAGCUGGGAGACCACAGAAGUGGGGAAAGCGGCAAAGCGUGCAGUGGGCUUGGAGGUGGGCUCCACGCCCCUACCACUGCCAAACACCUCUGGCCACCCACAGGACAAAAAGGUGCUUCUGACCCGCGCACAGUACUUCUUCCAGAGGCUUGUUCUCAUGCUGGACAACCAACUACCCGUCACUCCCCUCCUGAGCGUCUAUUGACUCAGAUUUAAAAAUAGGGGUGGGGACGUCCACCACUCAGGUCUGACAUGAGGAUGGGAUGGUGCCCUGGUUAAGCAUUCAUAGGUGUGAAGGGAGCGAUGGAGAGAAAGAAAACCUCUGUGACCCAUGAGGCUGAAAGGGUGCACAGUUCAGCUCUGAGGCUAUUUAUAUUAACUAGAUGCACCAUUCCAGACCUUUCUGGAGUAACAGAGAUGGAAGAGAUACAGCCUCGGCUGUCAAAGCCCUGACAGGAGGCCUGGUUUUCAUUUUCUUUCAACUUGGAGUGACCGAGGGGAAGGCAGUUGGGAUGUGAGAGGAGAGCGAGCUCCCUGGUGGGUGGGACAGAGGCUGAAGAAGCUGGACCCCACGAGGCCUCCCCCCUUGAGGCCUGGGGCCUGGGUCAGAUUAAACCCCAGGAAGAACUGGGUGACAUAAUGAGGGCCUGCUGUGUGUCAGCCCCGUACUGAACCCAUCCCAGGCAUCAUCAGAUAGUCUUUGAAGUUAUCCCAGAAUGAGUGAAGAUUGUCUUCAGCCCUACAAAGGAGCCAUCAUGACCCCUUUUCAGAGACAAAAGAUGGUUCUGUGUACAGGUGUGGGCUCCGGAGUGGAGAAGCUAUGGGACUCCAGCAAGUUGUUUCACCUGAGCCUCAGUUUCUUCAUCUGCAAAAUGGAGAACAUGACUUAGCUCCCUC
ensembl:lncRNA